UGUUCCAAGGUCUGUCACUCUCUGAAUAUUGUCCCAUUUUAUGGUGUAUGUGCUUGGCUGAGGAGCCAAUGGGGCAAAGCUACCAUCUGUGGGAUUAUGACUGACCGCUUCUAAGUCAGAAUCCUGACUGCUGGAAUG
rnacentral:ncRNA from 1 species